rnacentral:rRNA from 1 species
CUGGCUCAGGACGAACGCUGGCGGCGUGCCUAACACAUGCAAGUCGAGCGAUGAA